CGAGGUCGUGGGGCCGAUGGCCGCGGCCAACGGGAUUGGACGACUGAUUAUUGGACAGAAUGGCGUCUUGUCGACACCUGCGGUCUCCUGCAUUAUCAGGAAGAUCAAGGCAGCUGGUGGAAUCAUUCUAACAGCCAGCCACUGCCCUGGAGGACCAGGGGGAGAGUUUGGAGUGAAGUUUAAUGUUGCCAAUGGAGGGCAGACUUCUUGGAGGAAGUGAAAUUUGAACUGCGAUGUGAAGAAUGAGCAGGAGUUAGUGAGGUGAAGAUGAGAGAAGGAGUGUUGCAAACACAGGUCAGUCUGUGCAAAGGCCCUGAGACACAAGGAGCCUAGAACCACGGCUCGAAGACAACCGUCUGGCUGGGGCAUGGCUCGUCUUACAGAUCACAUUAAGGAACAAAUAAUUAUGUUAAGAGUUAUGGGCUGCCAUUAAGGAUUUGGAUAAGAGAGUCUUACAAUCACAUCUGUGUUUUCUAAAGGCCUGACACUGAUUGGUACAUGGAGUACAGCCUGAAGGGAACAAGACUUGUUAGAAAGGAAGCUAUUGGCUGGGUGUGGUGGCUUGUGCCUAUAAUCCCAGCACUUUGGGAAGCU
rnacentral:lncRNA from 1 species